AUAUUUAAAUUAUUUCGUAACCAGAAACGGUUAAGAAACUGAACCGGCUCCACGAAACUAAACCGCCUCCGUUAGUUUCUCGUUCCAGGGCAAAUUCGGCCAUUUUGGGCCUAAUGGCUAAAAGGUGGUUGGCCAAGCCCACUUUGCCUCUUUGUGA
rnacentral:sRNA from 1 species